rnacentral:tRNA from 1 species
GGAGAGUUGGCCGAGUUGGUUGAAGGCGCUCGCCUGCUAAGCGAGUAAAGGGCUUGAAGCCCUUUCGAGGGUUCGAAUCCCUCACUCUCCGCCA